rnacentral:rRNA from 1 species
CCCUUAGAGUUUGAUCCUGGCUCAGGAUGAACGCUAGCGACAGGCUUAACACAUGCAAGUCGAGGGGCAGCACAGGUAGCAAUACCGGGUGGCGACUGGCGCACGGGUGAGUAACGCGUAUGCAACUUACCUAUCAGAGGGGGAUAACCCGGCGAAAGUCGGACUAAUACCGCAUGAAGCAGGGGCCCCGCAUGGGGAUAUUUGCUAAAGAUUCAUCGCUGAUAGAUAGGCAUGCGUUCCAUUAGGCAGUUGGCGGGGUAACGGCCCACCAAACCGACGAUGGAUAGGGGUUCUGAGAGGAAGGUCCCCCACAUUGGUACUGAGACACGGACCAAACUCCUACGGGAGGCAGCAGUGAGGAAUAUUGGUCAAUGGCCGAGAGGCUGAACCAGCCAAGUCGCGUGAGGGAUGAAGGUUCUAUGGAUCGUAAACCUCUUUUAUAAGGGAAUAAAGUGCGGGACGUGUCCCGUUUGUAUGUACCUAUAAUAGGAUGGU